rnacentral:rRNA from 1 species
AUUGAACGCUGGCGGCAUGCCUUACACAUGCAAGUCGAACGGCAGCACGGGGCAACCUGGUGGCGAGUGGCGAACGGGUGAGUAAUGCAUCGGAACGUGCCAUUGAUGGGGGAUAACGUAGCGAAAGUUGCGCUAAUACCGCAUAUUCUGUGAGCAGGAAAGCAGGGGACCGCAAGGCCUUGCGCUCUUUUGAGCGGCCGAUGUCAGAUUAGCUAGUUGGUGAGGUAACGGCUUACCAAGGCGACGAUCUGUAGCGGGUCUGAGAGGAUGAUCCGCCACACUGGAACUGAGACACGGUCCAGACUCCUACGGGAGGCAGCAGUGGGGAAUUUUGGACAAUGGGCGCAAGCCUGAUCAGCCAUGCCGCGUGAGUGAAGAAGGCCUUC